rnacentral:rRNA from 1 species
UACGGGGGGGGCAAGCGUUGUUCGGAAUUACUGGGCGUAAAGCGCGUGUAGGCGGCUUUGCAAGUCGGGUGUGAAAUCCCACGGCUCAACCGUGGAAGUGCAUUCGAAACUGCGAGGCUAGAGUCCUGGAGAGGAAGGUGGAAUGCUUGGUGUAGAGGUGAAAUUCGUAGAUAUCAAGCGGAACACCGGUGGCGAAGGCGGCCUUCUGGACAGUGACUGACGCUGAGACGCGAAAGCGUGGGGAGCAAACAGG